GACGAACGCUGGCGGCGUGCUUAACACAUGCAAGUCGAACGGAAAGGCCCUGCUUUUGUUGGGUUCUCGUUUGCCGCACGGGUGAGUAUCACGUGUGUAACCUGCCCUUGACUUUGGGAUAACUUCAGGAAACUGGGGCUCUUACCGCAUAUGAGCUCCUGCUGCAUGUUGUUGGUUGGAAAGUUUCGGCGGUUGGGGAUGGUCUCGCGGCUUCUCCGCUUGUUUGUGGGGUAGUUGCUUACCAAGGCUUUGACGGGUAGCCGGCCUGAGAGGGUGAACAGCGACAAUGGGACUGAGAGACGGCGCAGAAGGCAACGGGAGGCAGCAGUGGGGAAUAUUGCAGAAUAGGGGGAAGCCAGAGGCAGAAACGCCGCGUGCGGGAUAACGGCCUUCGGGUGGUAAACAGAUUUCGCAUGUGACGAAGCGUGAGUGACGGUAAUGGGUAAAGAAGCAACGGCUAACUACGUG
rnacentral:rRNA from 1 species